GCCAUCUUGGAAUUUGUAUGUAAACAAUCUGCAAUAUUUUGCAAUAUCUUUUUUUUGCUCUUUGUGUGUGGAAUUGUAUUGGUGGGAAUAAGAGCAUUGAAAAGUUGAAAGCUCAAGAGAAUAAAUCGACUCUCAGUGUCGGUUGGUGAUGGAGAUAUUUUACCCGCGUUUUGCAGCUAGAGACGUCGGUUAAUCGUUCGAUUAAUUCAAAUAAUCGAAUAUCUGUAACAGUAAUUUUAUACCAAAUAAUGAAAAAUCAAGAAAAUACAGUGCAAAAUUUGUUUAACCGUCAUGGUGUUUCGUCGAAAUUCAUAGAAUAUGCUAAAUCAUUUACGGUAGAAGCUUGAUUCCUAGGUGGUGGAGGAGACUGGGAAGAAGAAUUAAGGGUCUGCAGGAGUAAAAUGCGGACUUGAAGAAGGUGGUCUCAGCUCCCGUUCUAAAAUAGUAGUAUUCAAAUUCA